GUGGCGCACGGGUGCGUAACGCGUGGGAACCUGCCUUUAGGUUCGGGAUAACAGUUGGAAACGACUGCUAAUACCGAAUAAUGUCUUCGGACCAAAGAUUUAUCGCCUUUAGAUGGGCCCGCGUUGGAUUAGCUAGUUGGUGGGGUAAAGGCCUACCAAGGCGACGAUCCAUAGCUGGUCUGAGAGGAUGAUCAGCCACACUGGGACUGAGACACGGCCCAGACUCCUACGGGAGGCAGCAGUGGGGAAUAUUGGACAAUGGGCGAAAGCCUGAUCCAGCAAUGCCGCGUGAGUGAUGAAGGCCUUAGGGUUGUAAAGCUCUUUUACUGGGGAUGAUAAUGACAGUACCCAGAGAAUAAGCUCCGGCUAACUCCGUGCCAGCAGCCGCGGUAAUACGGAGGGAGCUAGCGUUGUUCGGAAUUACUGGGCGUAAAGCGCGCGUAGGCGGCUUAUCAAGUCAGGGGUGAAAUCCCGGGGCUCAACCCCGGAACUGCCUCUGAAACUGGUAGACUAGAAUACUGGAGAGGCGAGUGGAAUUCCGAGUGUAGAGGUGAAAU
rnacentral:rRNA from 2 species